rnacentral:rRNA from 1 species
ACGUACACUCCUACGGGAGGCAGCAGUGGGGAAUAUUGCACAAUGGGCGCAAGCCUGAUGCAGCCAUGCCGCGUGUGUGAAGAAGGCCUUCGGGUUGUAAAGCACUUUCAGCGGGGAGGAAGGCGAUACGGUUAAUAACCGUGUUGAUUGACGUUACCCGCAGAAGAAGCACCGGCUAACUCCGUGCCAGCAGCCGCGGUAAUACGGAGGGUGCAAGCGUUAAUCGGAAUUACUGGGCGUAAAGCGCACGCAGGCGGUCUGUCAAGUCGGAUGUGAAAUCCCCGGGCUCAACCUGGGAACUGCAUUCGAAACUGGCAGGCUUGAGUCUUGUAGAGGGGGGUAGAAUUCCAGGUGUAGCGGUGAAAUGCGUAGAGAUCUGGAGGAAUACCGGUGGCGAAGGCGGCCCCCUGGACAAAGACUGACGCUCAGGUGCGAAAGCGUGGGGAGCAAACAGGAUUAGAAACCCCUGUAGUCCCAUG